UCUCUUUUCAAGGAACAUUCUCAUCUUACACAUUUCCGCUUCUUUCGCUAUAUAUUUGUUUUCGUACUUCUUCUUCUACUUCGUACUUCCUACAGUGAAUUGCUGACUAUUACAUGAAGGCCGAUAUAGGCAGAUAUGGACACUGUCGAGUCCGUUUCCUGGGCAGAACCAGUACUUGGUUUCUAUGGAGGAAAUAAUGAGAAUGCUCCUCGAGUAGAGAGCGAACCCACGAACUCCCGAUCGCUAGGCGGACACCUCAUCCACUACACCACCGCGAUAGUAUAUACGGAUGCCUACUGUUUAUUUAUUUUUGGCAUAGAAUUUACUUUAUUACCCAGUGUACAUAGCUUUAGAAUUAAUUUUCAAUUGUAAACACAAACCUGAAAACUAUCACUCAAUUUCAGAGUGAACAGCAUUUGAUUGUGUAGCCCCAAGAUAGACAAAGUUAUCAAGAAAUGGACGGACGUUAAGACGCACAACAACAACCAUGGGUGAAUGAUGAGAUCUCAUCCAUCACAUCAGUUGAACAAAAGUUGGAAAUCCGCGAAACAGCGCAUGUGAGGCCCAGUCAUUUGAGCAAAUAGUGUUCCACUUUAUUGUUCCCUAGCUGUAGAGUUGUUGGAGAAAACCUGUAUUGUUAUGUUAAAAGGAUAAUUAAAUAAAGGAGUAGAAUUUA